GAUGAACGCUGGCGGCGUGCCUAAUACAUGCAAGUCGAGCGAACAGAUAAGGAGCUUGCUCCUUUGACGUUAGCGGCGGACGGGUGAGUAACACGUGGGUAACCUACCUAUAAGACUGGGAUAACUUCGGGAAACCGGAGCUAAUACCGGAUAACAUUUGGAACCGCAUGGUUCUAAAGUGAAAGAUGGUUUUGCUAUCACUUAUAGAUGGACCCGCGCCGUAUUAGCUAGUUGGUAAGGUAACGGCUUACCAAGGCGACGAUACGUAGCCGACCUGAGAGGGUGAUCGGCCACACUGGAACUGAGACUCGGUCCAGACUCCUACGGGAGGCAGCAGUAGGGAAUCUUCCGCAAUGGGCGAAAGCCUGACGGAGCAACGCCGCGUGAGUGAUGAAGGGUUUCGGCUCGUAAAACUCUGUUAUUAGGGAAGAACAAAUGUGUAAGUAACUGUGCACGUCUUGACGGUACCUAAUCAGAAAGCCACGGCUAACUACGUG
rnacentral:rRNA from 1 species